AUGAGUCAGUUGAUGGUUAUUCAAAGUAUUGUUUAUUGAGGACAUGUCACCUAUAGUUUGAAAGACAUAAAAUGGAUCACCUGGACAAAACACUUCCUCAAGCUGUUUCCAUCCACAGUGCAGCUGCUCAUACCAACCCUGUGAUGCCACACCAACUAAAAUUCAAAUAAAAGUUAUUUUUAAGAUGG